AUGAUGGUAUUUCAGCUGCUGCAGGUGGGCCAGCUUUGCUUCCUGGCUCUCAUCUCAGUUCCUCACAGGAGACAUUGGGUUCCUAGUGUCCAAGGGAGGAAAGAACUAGCAAGUGCUUGCAACUGGAAGCCUUGCCUGAUUAAAUGCCAGGAACGUAUUGAAGGGUGACCAGCAUCCCACCAUGCCAAGGAGGUCAAUUGAAGUUUAGCUGCCGACUUCGUGAACAGGAUUUCAACCCAUGUCUGCGAUUAGUGAUGAAAUGAAAUCCACGGCUUGAAAUCAUUUAUCCAGCACAUCCGAUCAAACACAAACAUCUCCGUGCUUGAAAAUAAAUGAGGGUUGGAGCCAGCUAGGCUGCUGCA
rnacentral:lncRNA from 1 species